AUGUCUACUCCACAAAAAUAGGCAUAGGACACUAAAAUAAAGGAGGAAACAUCCGUCUGACGCACGGUACGGCAGUGUGGAGACCUGUCGUAAUGCUCCCGGAAUUUUUACUUUCCGGGUAUGCGAGAACGCACGCGAAAAUGGUAGGUGCGUUUAGCGUCGAAACAACAUGGCA
rnacentral:ncRNA from 1 species